AGAGUUUGAUCAUGGCUCAGAGCGAACGCUGGCGGCAGGCUUAACACAUGCAAGUCGAGCGGGCAUAGCAAUAUGUCUGCGGCAGACGGGUGAGUAACGCGUGGGAACGUACCUUUGGUUCGGAGCAACACAGGGAAACUUGUGCUAAUACCGGAUAAGCCCUUACGGGGAAAGAUUUAUCGCCGAAAGAUCGGCCCGCGUCUGAUUAGCUAGUUGGUGAGGUAAUGGCUCACCAAGGCGACGAUCAGUAGCUGGUCUGAGAGGAUGAUCAGCCACAUUGGGACUGAGACACGGCCCAAACUCCUACGGGAGGCAGCAGUGGGGAAUGUUGGACAAUGGGCGCAAGCCUGAUCCAGCCAUGCCGCGUGAGUGAUGAAGGCCCUAGGGUUGUAAAGCUCUUUUGUGCGGGAAGAUAAUGACGGUACCGCAAGAAUAAGCCCCGGCUAACUUCGUG
rnacentral:rRNA from 1 species